rnacentral:rRNA from 1 species
ACGAACGCUGGCGGCAUGCCUCACACCUGCAAGUCGAACGAGACCUUCGGGUCUAGUGGCGCACGGGUGCGUAACGCGUGGGAACCUGCCCUUAGGUUCGGAAUAACUCCCCGAAAGGGGCGCUAAUACCGGAUAAUGUCUUCGGACCAAAGAUUUAUCGCCUUUGGAUGGGCCCGCGUUGGAUUAGCUAGUUGGUAGGGUAAAAGCCUACCAAGGCGACGAUCCAUAGCUGGUCUGAGAGGAUGAUCAGCCACACUGGGACUGAGACACGGCCCAGACUCCUACGGGAGGCAGCAGUGGGGAAUAUUGGACAAUGGGCGAAAGCCUGAUCCAGCAAUGCCGCGUGAGUGAUGAAGGCCUUAGGGUUGUAAAGCUCUUUUACCCGGGAUGAUAAUGACAGUACCGGGAGAAUAAGCGCCGGCUAACUCCGUG